rnacentral:rRNA from 1 species
ACGGAAGGCAGCAGUGGGGAAUAUUGGACAAUGGGGGAAACCCUGAUCAAGCGACGCCGCGUGAGUGAAGAAGUAUUUCGGUAUGUAAAGCUCUAUCAGCAAGGAAGAAAAUGACGGUACUUGACUAAGAAGCUCCGGCUAAAUACGUGCCAGCAGCCGCGGUAAUACGUAUGGAGCAAGCGUUAUCCGGAUUUACUGGGUGUAAAGGGAGCGUAGACGGCAAAGCAAGUCUGAAGUGAAAUCCCGGGGCUCAACCCCGGAACUGCUUUGGAAACUGUUUAGCUAGAGUGCAGGAGAGGUAAGCGGAAUUCCUAGUGUAGCGGUGAAAUGCGUAGAUAUUAGGAGGAACACCAGUGGCGAAGGCGGCUUACUGGACUGUAACUGACGUUGAGGCUCGAAAGCGUGGGGAGCAAACAGGAUUAGAUACCCUGGUA